rnacentral:rRNA from 1 species
CCUACGGGUGGCAGCAGUGGGGAAUAUUGGGCAAUGGGCGCAAGCCUGACCCAGCAACGCCGCGUGAAGGAAGAAGGCUUUCGGGUUGUAAACUUCUUUUAAGAGGGAAGAGCAGAAGACGGUACCUCUUGAAUAAGCCACGGCUAACUACGUGCCAGCAGCCGCGGUAAUACGUAGGUGGCAAGCGUUGUCCGGAUUUACUGGGUGUAAAGGGAGCGUAGGCCGCAUGUCAAGCGUGCUGUGAAAUGUCCGGGCUCAACCCGGGCCUUGCAGCGCGAACUGGCGUGCUUGAGUCCGCGGAAAGCAGGCGGAAGUCGUCGUGUAGCGGUGAAAUGCUUAGAUAUGACGAAGAACCCCGAUUGCGAAGGCAGCUUGCUGCAGCGGAACUGACGCUGAUGCUCGAAAGCGCGGGUAUCGAACAGGAUUAGAUACCCCAGUAGUC